CUUUUCUGAGAGGAAAAGGAAAGGGAAAGGGAGAGAAAAAGGAGAGACACUGAACUGAAUGGAGGAUUGUGCCUGAGAAGAACCUACAGAGGGAUGUCUCCCCAGUGAAGGCCAAAGACUGCAGAGAGUGCUGCACCAAUGGACGCUCAAGCCAACUCUGAAGUUGAAACAAAGCGAUCAUCUGAAGACACCUCUCCUGCUCAGCAGCAUACCCAAAUGAGCCCACUGAAGUUUUACAAUGUGCCAGAGCUAUAAUGAUGUGGCAUGAAUCUCAGCAUGAUAGAAGACCCUGAAGUGUCAGAUUCAAUAAUGAAGAAACCAUAGAGGCCAUCUAUUCUAUCUUUUGCUUGAAUUUUCUCUGCUAGCCUAUAAUGUACCACCUCAUGGAUCAUCAAUUCCACAUUUGGACAAAUAGAUAGCUUAAAUACUUUUUCUUUAUAUUGACGCACAAGAGGCUCUUACAUCAUUACUGGUUUUACCCAUGGAUCACACAGUGUAAGUAUGAUCUCUUUUUAUCAGUCCU
rnacentral:lncRNA from 1 species